AGGAGCGUAGCUCAAUUGGCAGAGCAGCUGAUUCCAAAUCAGCAGGUUGGGGGUUCGAGUCCCUUCGCUCCUG
rnacentral:tRNA from 1 species